AGGAUAUCUGAAGCCUUACCCAGAUACACGAUAUCAUUUAGCAGAUUUUGCUCGAGGAAGUCAACCAAUAAGGGGUUACAGGGAAGUAUUCAAUAAGAGACAUUCCUCAUUACGAAGUAUCAUUGAGCGUACAUUUGGUGUGUGGAAAAAAAAUGGAGAAUUCUACAUGAUAUGCCAAAUUACGCGUUGAAGAAACAAUGUCAAAUAGUUAUAGGUACAAUGACAUUGCAUAAUUUUAUACGAAGACAUAACUCACAGGUCGAUCCUGAUUUUGAUGAGUAUGAGAGGGAUGAAAACUUUGAUAUUUCUGACUGUAGUCUAGACAGAGUGCCAGAAUCAGGUGAAGAAAAUGUUUGAGUUGAAGAACAGACUGAUGGUGAAGAUGUUACUGAGAUGAAAGAAGUUAGAGAUAAUAUCGCGAAACAGUUGUACAACUUUAGUAGGUGUGUAGAUGAGAUAUGAUGAUGAAAAUGUAGAAGUUGAAGAAGAUAACCUUGACAAACCUUAUGAAGAUUGAAGUUGCUUGUUAAAUUUGUUAGAAUUUGUGUUUGUGUGAUUGAGAACAAAAUGAGUUUUAAAAAAUUAAUGUUUUUUAAAUGAAUUAGUAGAUGAUGUGUGGUUAUAUUAAAAA